UUAAAAGUGUUUGAAAAGGUUUACUAAAUAUUUUCAUCGUUUAAUAUUGGCUGCAGUUGUUUCCUUUGAAAAAUUUCCAAUAUGUAUCCUUAUUAUGAACAAGAUUGGAGUGUUUUACCUCCGGAUAAUAAUCGUAGAUUUAAUCCAGCCUUUAAUAUGGCCACCAUAAGGCAAGCUUUCUCAGAGGCUGUUGAAAGAGUGAGGAUGCCUACACCUACACGUUUAAGAGAUCUCAUAAGACAGAUACGUGCUGCUCGUACAGCUGCAGAAGAACGUGCUGUUGUUAAUAAAGAAUGUGCCUACAUACGCACUACUUUUCGAGAAGAGGAUCCCGUAUGGAGAUGUCGCAAUAUUGCCAAAUUAUUAUACAUACACAUGUUGGGUUAUCCGGCACACUUUGGGCAAUUGGAAUGUUUAAAAUUGACAGCCAGUACACGUUUUACAGAUAAACGUAUUGGUUACUUGGGAGCCAUGCUGCUGUUAGACGAACGUCAAGAUGUUCAUUUAUUAAUAACAAAUUGUUUGAAAAAUGAUUUAAAUAGUUCAACACAAUUUGUUGUGGGUUUGGCUUUGUGCACCCUGGGUGCCAUUGCCUCACCUGAAAUGGCACGUGAUUUAGCCAGCGAAGUGGAGCGUCUUAUGAAAUCACCAAAUACUUAUAUACGCAAAAAAGCCAUCCUUUGUGCUUUUCGUGUUAUACGCCGCGUACCAGAAUUAAUGGAAAUUUUCUUACCGGCCACUCGUUCGCUGUUGAGUGAGAAAAAUCAUGGUAUUCUAAUAACGGGUGUUACAUUAAUAACAGAAAUGUGUGAAAACAGUGCCGAUACUUUGAUGCAUUUUAAAAAGGAUAGCGGAAAUCGAGAGAUUGUACCAAAUUUGGUGCGCAUUUUGAAAAAUCUUAUAUUGGGUGGCUAUUCGCCGGAACAUGAUGUUAGCGGUGUAAGUGAUCCAUUUUUACAAGUGAAAAUCUUAAGAUUAUUACGUAUUUUGGGACACAAUGAUACGGACGCUUCGGAGGCCAUGAAUGAUAUAUUAGCACAAGUGGCUACCAAUACAGAGACAAGUAAAAAUGUGGGCAAUACUAUAUUGUAUGAGACAGUAUUGUCUAUAAUGGAUAUAAGAUCCGAGGGUGGCUUACGUGUUUUGGCUGUUAAUAUAUUGGGUCGUUUCUUAUUGAAUUCGGAUAAAAAUAUACGUUAUGUGGCUUUAAAUACUUUACUGCGUACGGUACAUGCUGAUACCUCAGCUGUACAGAGACAUCGUACUACAAUUUUGGAGUGCCUCAAGGAUCCGGAUGUAUCGAUACGAAAACGUGCUAUGGAAUUAUCAUUUGCUUUAAUUAAUGCCCAAAAUAUACGUACGAUGACAAAAGAAUUGCUAUUGUUUUUGGAAAAAGCCGAUCCAGAAUUUAAAGCUCAAUGUAGUUCGGGUAUGAUUUUAGCAGCUGAACGUUAUUCACCCAAUACAAGAUGGCAUUUAGAUACACAGCUAAGUGUUUUAAUAGCGGCUGGUAAUUAUGUACGUGAUGAUGUGGUCUCAUCAACUAUACAACUUGUUUCUAGCAGUCCUGCUUUAGAGCAAACUUAUAUAACCAAUCGUUUUUGGGAAUCUUUACAAGUGUCCAAUCACUGUGAAGAUAAACAACCUUUACUGCAGGUGGCUGUUUGGGCCAUUGGUGAAUAUGGUGAUAUGUUUAUGUAUAGUUCUAAUGAUGAUGAAUUUGAACGUCCCUCAGAGAGUGAAUUAAUUGCAAUGUUCCAUAAAUUUUUAACUUCUGCUCAAGUUUCCAUAACUAGCAAGCAAUACGCUUUAGUGUCCUUAGCCAAGCUAAGCACUAGACUACAAAGUUGUGUGGAAGAAGUCCAGGCUUUGAUCACUUCCUUUGGUAGCCAUUUAAAUGUUGAUUUACAACAAAGAGGUGUAGAGUUUUCACAACUAUUUGGCACUUAUAAACACUUACGUCCAGCUCUUUUGGAGAAAAUGCCAGCCAUGCAAGUGAGUCGCAUGUCUUCACAGAAUGGUGAGAGCAGCGGUUCAUACGAUGACAAUAGUCCCGAUCUAAUCGAAAAUGGUUUAGCUGAUGAACAAAUCAAUACGGAAAGCAAUAUGAACAACAUGAGUGAUAAUACGAACAUUCUAUUGGAUCUUUUGGGUGGCUCAGAUUUAACCACCAAUACCAACACUGCGAUAACAACAUCAACAGAUUUAUCGGUGCAAAAGAAAAAUACGCUCAAUGCUAAUAACGAUACAACAACAACUGCAAAUAAUCAAGAUUUUCUCGAUUUAUUGGGUUUGGACAUGUCAUCGGCCACACAAUCAUCCACAACAACAACAAAUGCUACCUCCAAUGUCCUCAAUACAAAUAUGAAUAAUGUUUUAGUGGGUACAGGUGGUGGUCUUGGUGUUGGUGGCGGCGUGGGCAUGAUAGGCGGUUUAGGUGAUUUAAAUAGUAUUUUAUCAACAACAACAACAACAUCAACCACCGUAGUACCAACAAAUGGUAAUGAUUUAUCUUCAAUUAUGGCUGCCGCUAGUAUAACAACACCGUCAAUGGAUUUAACACAACAGAAUACUUUAAUUAGUGAUCCUUUAGCAACAGCAACAACUGCUUCAAAUAAUGUUAGUGUGCCUCAAGGUCCAAAAUUGACAGCUUUGAAUAAGAAUGGUGUUUUGGUUCAAUUAGUACCGGUUAAAGCUAAUGAUUCAAUGCAAAUUUAUAUGACAACUACAAAUAGUUCGACAUCAACAUUGGAACAAUAUCUAUUUCAGGCGGCAGUUCCUAAAAGUUUUACUCUACAAAUGCUGUCACCAUCUGGUUCAGUUUUACCACCGGGUGGUGUUAUAACACAAGAAAUGCGUGUUGUCAGUACAUCAAGUGCUACACUACGCAUGCGUAUACGCAUAUCAUACAUAAUUGAUGGUGUUAAUGUUCUAGAACAGACAGAAGUGAGUGGUUUUCCUGAUACAACACCAGAAUAGGAAUAACUUUUAAGUUAAACAAAAAAAAAAAUAAAUAAACUAAAAUUUACAGUAUAAUUACUAAAAAAAAUGAAAAUAUGAAAACAAGAAAACCCUACAUAAAAGUUAAACAACUGCAGAAUAAUAAAAACAACAAAAAAAAAACUUAUAAAUUUAAUCAUAACACAAAAACUAUACAAAACAUAUAGUGAUGAAGCAGAGAGAAUGAGAUAACAAUUAGCAAAAUCAAAUUCAUUUCAUUUAAACAGCAAUCAUAGCAUCUGACAAUUCCUUCAGUUCCAAGGAUUCACUGGUAGUGAAAAUAAUUGUAUUACCCAAACUACGAUAAUAUUUCAAAAUAUUCCAUAUCAAGAGACGAUCAUAAGCGGCCAGACCUUUAGUGGGUUCAUCCAAUAUUAAGAUAUUUUUAUGAUUAAUCAAAGCUACAGCCAGAUUUAAUCUACGUUGGAUAUUAACAG
rnacentral:misc_RNA from 1 species